AACUUUUCGAAUUCGUGCUGAGAUGCCGUCAGAUACCAACCAAUUAGGGCUGACUAGACUUCCAAGAUAAGUGAAGUU
rnacentral:pre_miRNA from 1 species